CAGUAGCCGCCGGAAUACAGAGGGUGCGAGCGUUAAUCGGAUUUACUGGGCGUAAAGCGUGCGUAGGCGGCUUCUUAAGUCGGAUGUGAAAUCCCUGAGCUUAACUUAGGAAUUGCAUUCGAUACUGGGAAGCUAGAGUAUGGGAGAGGAUGGUAGAAUUCCAGGUGUAGCGGUGAAAUGCGUAGAGAUCUGGAGGAAUACCGAUGGCGAAGGCAGCCAUCUGGCCUAAUACUGACGCUGAGGUACGAAAGCAUGGGGAGCAAACAGGAUUAGAUACCCGAGUAGUCCCUGUCUCUUAUAA
rnacentral:rRNA from 1 species